UCACUAGAUAAAGAACACAAAUGCAUCGUCAAACAUGAGAAUAAUAAAGGAGGAGUUGAUCAAGAGAUUCUCUUUCCUGCAAUAAAGAAAGACACCACACCUCCAGAAAAUGAAGUGCACAAAUCGGGGAUAUUGGAGACACGCAUGACUUCGAAUGAUCCUAAAAAACCUUGUUUGGAAGGUGAAAAUGAACAGGUGAAAGUAGCUGAACGACUUUUCUCAGAAGCACUGGGGCAGCAGCUUACCAGCACCUCUGCCUACUACACCUACCUGCUCCUGCUCCUCAACAGCGUGGUCUACUUUGCCUUCGCUGCCUUCUGUCUGUUUAGAAGAACAGCUGUCUGUGGUGAUGGGAAGAGUUCCUAACAGAUGGUUGCAGAAAGGGGACAUCUUUCCUGCAUCAUGUAUUGUCCCUGACAGAGUAGCCCACAGCAGUCAUUAGCGCCACUCUCUCCAGUCUCCCCCAGCUCCUCCAGCCAGCCCGAGUCGUGGCAGCUGCAGUGUAGACAGCACACAGCCUCCAGCCAUGCUCCAGUGCCCUCGCCCCAGACAGCUGCGUGCAAACCUGCCCUUGGCACACCCUGGAGUGGCCUUAUGUCUGCUCAAAUUCUGUGCUUUGUUUUUCAUAAUAAGCACAAUAAACAAACAAGCAA